rnacentral:rRNA from 1 species
GUAGGUGGCGAGCGUUGUCCGGAUUUAUUGGGCGUACAGGGCGCGCAGGCGGUUCGUUUAGUCCGAGGUGAAAUCUCCCGGCUCAACUGGGAGAGGUCUUCGGAUACUGGCGGGCUUGAGGAGAGCAGAGGUGAGUGGAAUUCUGGGUGUAGUGGUGAAAUGCGUAGAUAUCCAGAGGAACACCAGUGGCGAAGGCGACUCACUGGGCUCCACCUGACGCUGAGGCGCGAAAGCGUGGGGAGCGAACCGGAUUAGAUACCCGGGUAGUCCACGCCGUAAACGAUGGACACUAGGUGUGGGGGGUAUUGACCCCCUCCGUGCCGUAGCUAACGCAGUAAGUGUCCCGCCUAGGGAGUACGGCCGCAAGGCUA